ensembl:lncRNA
GUUUAAGUUCCUUUGUGCCUACUGAACAGCUUCGCCUAAAAUCAGUGACAACCUGCCCGCUCCCAUGCCUGUUCGUCAUAAAUGUGUGAAAACAGAGCCCAGCAUAGUUAGUAAUUAUCCCUUCAUUAUGCCAAUAUGCUUCUGAAAGCAUAAUCAUGAUCAAAAGACACGUGAUUCUCCUCUUACUGCUUUCUGUUUGCAGGUUUCAACUUUUUUUAUUUCUCUUCCUGCUAAUAAGGAUUUUUUAAUUUGAAAAUCAACAACAGCUUUUGAAGCCUGUGCCUGUCCUCAUGGUAAUGAUAAAUCUCCCCUGACCUGAGGACUCAGACUCUGCAGCAGUGAAUAGCAGCUGAAAUAACAGGCACGUGGAAAUGCUGCAGAGAAGGACACACAAGAAGCAUCUACAGCUCCAGGGGACUCGCGUGGAUCAUUUGGUGCCCAUUGCAGGUGGCUCAGUUUGUACUUCAGCAAGGAAGAAAUGUGGCUCCUCUUCAAGUCAUAUAUCACAUCGGAUAUUCUGGACAUCAGCAAUCAUGCAUCCUGCUGCAGCAUUCAGGUUCCUGCUUUAGGGACCCAGGUAUCAUAUAAUUUCCUGUGAGCUCAGUGGGUACAGGAUUUCACUCACACACACACAGAAUGAACAGAGAUAAACAGCCAAAAUUAGAGGAGGCUGCAUUUCCUACGGAUAAAUAUUAAUUCUACAGAGAAGUUAAUAAAACCGAUUUUCCUUUUAAGCAAACGCAUUUUCACAAAACCUUGGGAAAAAACCCAACACAAACAUACCUGACAGAAUAUCUGAG